AAAAACAUAACCUUUAGCCAAACAAAUAUUAAAGGCAACGCCUGCCCAGUGAACAAUUAAACGGCCGCGGUAUCCUAACCGUGCAAAGGUAGCAUAAUCAUUUGUCUACUAAUUAUAGACCUGUAUGAAAGGCAAAAUGAGGGUCUAACUGUCUCUUAUAAUAAAUCAAUUAAACUGAUCUCCUAGUAAAAAAGCUAGAAUAACACCAUAAGACCAGAAGACCCUGUGAAGCUUAAACUAAACUAUUAAACCAUAUAAUAAAUACUUUCGGUUGGGGCGACCUUGGAAAAAAACAGAACUUCCAAGACCCAGCACAGCUGAUUAUUGAACCAAGUUACUCCAGGGAUAACAGCGCAAUCUUCUUCAAGAGCCCAUAUCAAAAAGAAGGUUUACGACCUCGAUGUUGGAUCAGGACAUCCUAAUGGUGCAGCCGCUAUUAAGGGUUCGUUUGUUCAACGAUUAACAGUCCUACGUGAUCU
rnacentral:rRNA from 1 species